rnacentral:rRNA from 1 species
ACUCAAAUGAAUUGACGGGGGCCCGCACAAGCGGUGGAGCAUGUGGUUCAAUUCGACGCAACGCGAAGAACCUUACCAGGCCUUGACAUGGGGAGUAUGGAUUCCUGAAAGGGAAUCCUUCAGUUCGGCUGGCUCCCACACAGGUGCUGCAUGGCUGUCGUCAGCUCGUGUCGUGAGAUGUUGGGUUAAGUCCCGCAACGAGCGCAACCCUCGUCUUCAGUUGCCAUCAGGUCAAGCUGGGCACUCUGAAGAAACCGCCGGUGACAAGCUGGAGGAAGGUGGGGAUGACGUCAAGUCCUCAUGGCCCUUACGGCCUGGGCUACACACGUGCUACAAUGGCGGUGACAAUGGGAUGCAAAGGGGCGACCUGGAGCAAAUCCCCAAAAGCCGUCUCAGUUCGGAUUGCACUCUGCAACUCGAGUGCAUGAAGGCGGAAUCGCUAGUAAUCGCGGAUCAGCACGCCGCGGUGAAUACGUUCUCGGGCCUUGUACACACCGCCCGU